GGCUCAGUGGUAUAGUGGUCUAGCACAAUGCGCGACGGAUAGGCCAGAGAUGUGGGUUCGAACCCCGCCUGAGCCG
rfam:Nippostrongylus brasiliensis genome assembly, scaffold: NBR_contig0002408